UUGUAAAGAAAUACAUGAGGUAGAGCUCUGCAGUUUGUCAUAGACACACCCAAGAAGUUCACAUUUUUUGCACAGAUUUGUGUUCUACAUGUAUGGCCUUGAAGGAAUUGUUUUAGGAAAGUGAUAGCCAAACAUUCCCCAGGAUUCAAACCAACAACCUUCAGAUAGAAAGAUUUACCUGUUGUGUAAACAGGAUGAGCUGGCUUGGUGAAAGGAAAAGAAAAGGAAAAUGACCUCAGGAAAGACAAGAUACAGCAGGUACAAGUUUUUAAGGCAUUCAUGGAAACAGAGUUCAGCAGCUUUUUGAAACAGCGUACCUUAUUUCUGCGAUGUCUUCCUUCUGAUGUUGAUGGGAUUUAUUUCUUCAUUUCUGUAUUCGCUGUUUGUUCAUUAAUUUCAAAUAGACAGCCUAGACACGGCACAAAUGGACAGACUGGAAGUUCUUGUGUACUACCCACUCAUGAGGAGUGUAUAUUUUGUCGUACAAAGAAGAUAAGGAACCAUUGAAGAACCAGGGACCGCCGCAAUGGGAAACACUUG